UGGGGAAUUUUGGACAAUGGGCGAAAGCCUGAUCCAGCAAUGCCGCGUGCAGGAUGAAGGCCUUCGGGUUGUAAACUGCUUUUGUACGGAACGAAAAGCUUCGGGUUAAUACCCUGGAGCCAUGACGGUACCGUAAGAAUAAGCACCGGCUAACUACGUGCCAGCAGCCGCGGUAAUACGUAGGGUGCAAGCGUUAAUCGGAAUUACUGGGCGUAAAGCGUGCGCAGGCGGUUUUGUAAGACAGAGGUGAAAUCCCCGGGCUCAACCUGGGAACUGCCUUUGUGACUGCAAGGCUAGAGUACGGCAGAGGGGGAUGGAAUUCCGCGUGUAGCAGUGAAAUGCGUAGAUAUGCGGAGGAACACCGAUGGCGAAGGCAAUCCCCUGGGCCUGUACUGACGCUCAUGCACGAAAGCGUGGGGAGCAAACA
rnacentral:rRNA from 1 species